AGAACGAACGCUGGCGGCAUGCCUAAUACAUGCAAGUCGAACGAACACUUCGGUGUUAGUGGCGCACGGGUGCGUAACGCGUGGGAAUCUGCCCUUGGGUUCGGAAUAACAGUUGGAAACGACUGCUAAUACCGGAUGAUGACGAAAGUCCAAAGAUUUAUCGCCCAGGGAUGACGCCCGCGUAGGAUUAGCUAGUUGGUGAGGUAAAGGCUACACCAAGGCGACGAUCCUUAGCUGGUCUGAGAGGAUGAUCGAGCCAACGACGUGGGACUGACGACCGACGGCCCAGACCUCCGUACGGGGACGCAGCGAGGUAGGGAAUUAGUGGAACUAAGU
rnacentral:rRNA from 1 species